rnacentral:lncRNA from 10 species
ACGAUGGUUUAGUUAUUUAUUGUUGAAAGAAUUAAUGAGUGGUAGCUUUGGAACCACCUGGCUCAUCUAGAAAUAGAAUAUAUUGCCACUUCUAUGCUGGUUCUUCUCAAGCCCUUUUAACUCAUGGGCUACCAGUUGGUGAGGGAGGGCUGGCAGAGUGCUUAAUCCACUCUUAUCAUCUAAGAAACAAACCUCACCACAGCCAGGGAAGUCUGGGCUCACACUGAUGGGAGGCCAACAGGGAGACCAUACACAAUCAGUUAUGCAGUGAACAAAAGCAUCAAUAUACAUGAUAAUUAAAGUAUUAAUAAAACAAGGGUAUCACUUCCCAGACCACCCAGAGGACCCAAAGAGACCAUCAGUGCAUGGUGGGCAAGCCCAUGAGACUCAGUGAUGGAGGGCGGGUGAGCUCCCAAAUUGGGGCUUAGCCCAGGAGGGUUCUUGGCUUUGCCCAGGAAAGAAUUAAAGGGCAGGCUGGUGUUGUUAGACAGCAACUUCUAUUGAAGUGGCAGUGCCCAGCAGCAACAGAGGCACUGCUCCUUGCAGAGCAGGGCUACCCCAGAGGCAGUGUGCCCACAGUAGAAGCUCAGAGGUACUUCUGCAGCCAUAUUUACACAUACUUUUUAUUAUAUGUAAAUUAAGGGGCAGAUUGUGCAGACAUUUCUAGAAAAGGUGUGGUAACUUCUGGGUCAUCAAGUCAUUGCCAUGGAAAGGGGUGGUAACUUCUGGGCGUCACGAUAGCAACAGCACACUGACACGGCACACUGGUGGGUGUGUCUUAUGGGGAGGUGCUCCCCUCCUGUCCCUGUUUUAGCUAGUCCUCAAUCCAAGCCUGGCCUCUGGAGUUGAGUCCUGCCUUCUACUUCAUCACCAGCCACAGGUGCCUUGGGGAUCUGCACCAGAUAUGACUGCCAGGAAGGAAGCAAACUGAACAAUGAAGGGAAAACAAGGAUCACAUGGCUUAGCGUCAGGGCUCCUCCUCCCUCACUAAUUCAUUCGAGGAUACCAGGCAACGGCCUUCCUGUCCCUGGGCCUUAUUCUUCUCAAUUGUAAAACCAGGGGGUUGGUUUGAAUUCCAUGAUCCUUCAGCUCCAACAGUCCGGAAGUCUGUCAGUGGCCCUAGCACCUGUACUUUCCACAUCGCUUUUGCUUCCACACCUGAGUAUCCCCACUGGUGCUCCUAAAACUGCCAGUAAGUAUGAAAAGCCUGUAUUGUUGUGCCCAUUUCUCAGGAUGAGACCUCAAGGUCACAUGGGACUAUUCACAAACUUACAAACUGCCUGAGCUAGCGAGAAUAAAGAUGCCAUUACAACUCCACCAGGUAAACCCUUCCUUUCCCAGAGGGGACUACCAACAGCUCGUUCUGCAGGGCCUUCCUCAUUUCACUCCCCAGAUAUUCCCUUCCAUUCCUCCCAGCCCCCUUCUGUUACUUUCCUGUGAACUCUGGCUAUUGUCAAGAGGUGUGAGGGGCUAUGAAGAUGGCUGUGCACCACACACACUCUCCGUAUGUAUCGCUAUUUUAGUUUUAAGACCACUGUCAAACUUCACCAUUGAGGUCCUUCCACUGGGCUUGUAAUUGGAAUCUGUCCGCUCAUUAACAUGAGGAAGGUGGGGAGGACGCUCUGGGCUUUAUCCACCAGUCCUCAUUUAGUAGGUGUUCCCUUUGCAGCUCCUGGGCCUUGGAGGAAUCUGUGUCCUGCUGUGUGUGCCUGUUUGUUAAGGAAAUUACCAUUUGCCCACACAUAUAAAUCUACAACACACCCUCUUAUCAUUUCCGAUUGUUCCACAGGCAACACUGAGAAGCCUGGGCAGAGUUGAGGCUAUUUUGGAGAUGCCGACACCUCUUUGUGCUACCAUCAAAGGAGUCUUAGCCACCCAAAGAGCUCGUGGAACAGCUUCCAGUCCUCAUGAGUUCACUGUGUCCUCAGCACUGCUGUCAGGGAUUCACAUCCAUCACCUCAUUCAAUCCUCAAAUAACACCAAUCUACAUAUUUUAUAUGAGAACACUGAGAUUUAAGUGGCUUGCUCAGUAUCACAGGAAUGGGAAGCAGACACCCUUAAUUACCCAACUUCUACAUCAUCUCCAUGAUUCUUGCAAUCUUUGGCAAAUAAGAUCAUCAUGGGAGGAGAGGAAGAGAUAGGGGUCACGUGCUUCAUGGGGGUGGGGACUCCCCAAAGCAUCUCUCACUAUUUCUUCCCUGAAGAUAUUCUGCCUUCCCUCUGGAGGAAAUUUCUCCUCCAUAGAAUGAGUCUUGGGGCUCCAAAUCUUGGUUCUUUCACUACCUUUGUGGUCUAAUUGGUCUAAUCAUCCCCCUGUCCCCUAGUCUGUUGGUAAGAAUUCUCUUUUAUGCCAGAAACAUAAAAAUCCUGGGCAGGACCACGUUAGGGACAUGAUGCUACCCAGAGGCUCAAGCAAUGUGGUCAACCCCUGCCUGUCUCUCUCUAACUCCCAGCUCUGCGUGUGUCUGCUUGGAAUCAUUCUAUAGGCAGGCUCGCCCUAGCUGGCAGCCGAGAGGGUCCCCAGCAGGCCCAGACAUGUAUCCUCCCAGAAAAUUCCUUCCCCAAAUCCAUAGACCAACACCAGGAAAAAUUCAAAUGGUUCUGCUUGGGUCACAUAUCUAAACCUGAACAUUUCACUGUGACAGAUGGAUGGGGUAAUCUGAUGAACCAGUGUAGACCAGGUGACCAUUCCUGGAGGGGGACAGGGAACACUAUAAUAGGCAACCAUGCCAAGACCACCAAAGGUAUACGUAUUUUUCAAAGAUGGACCCCACAAUAUUUCCCAUCCCACAUGCUUUUCUUCCUUGUUUCAUUGGCAUUGCAGGACAGUUCUCUGGGUGGCUGUGGACCGACCCAGCCCUCCUUCCUUGUAGAAUAACUAUAGAAUCCGUUGGGAAUGCAAUAUCCUGAGAUAAGGCUACUCUAUAGAACUGCCUGAAACAGCUUGGGUCUUGUUCCAGUCCUUCCUAGGAAAUGUAACAUCUUGAGUUAGGGAGGAAGUGCCCGGGACAGCCCAUGCUUGGUUCCUUUCUCCCCAGGAAGCAAGAUGCCCUUCCAAGCUUUAGCCCAGUGAGUCUCACUGUCCUGAUAUAUAUAAUAACCCAGGGUGGGCUGCCAUUUGGAGUCACUCAGCUGUGGUGUAGGUAGGGCAUGUGCACUUGAGGCACAUCUGCCUCGGGCAGCUUUCUUGAGCCUUGGGAAACCAGCUCACAAUGGAUCCCAGUCUUCUGUCUGUGGGUAAUAAAUCUGCUUCAUAUACCUUGUGGUGUGUGGGGGAGUUCUGUCUCUCCAGACUCCGACAAGUUGGUAACCAGUGCAAAAGGAACCUGCUUUACAUGCUCCUCCCAUCUCAUAGUUAAAUUUAUGCCCUUUUUGCUUGAAAUUGGGUGGAUCUUUUUGUCUUCCUCAACCAAUAGAAUAUGGCAAAAGUAACAUUCCCCUCAUUUCUGGGCCCAGCCUCAGAAACUUGCAGCUUUCACUUUUUACCUUUUGAGACACUCAAAAGUUGCCCCAAAACCUCCUGAAUAAGGACUCAGUCAUCAUGUAAGCAGAAACAAGCUGUCCCUGCUGUGCCCUUUCCCAGUUUCUGAGCCACAGAAAUUGUGAGCAUAACGGAUUGGUUGUUUUAAGCCACUCGGUUUUGGGUAGCGUGUUAUGUAGCAGAAGAUAACUGGAAGAGUGUGUGUGUGUGUGUGUGUAUGUGUGUGUGUGCCUGAAGGAUAGUUUCCCGCAGAAUCAAAAGGAGGAUGGGGAAGCACACUAGGCAAACAGGCACUGGGUCUUACAUCUGAAGAACCUAUGGUGCCCGCUAUUUUGAAAUGUACCAACUUUCAUUACUAGGAGGAGUGAUUGUGCCAUCCAGGCAAUGCAGAAGUAGGUAUGUUCCAGGUACGGAGCCUCACUUGCCCAGUUGGCUUGCCAGAGCAUUAGAGCAUUUAUCAGGUUCUUCUGCAUAUGCCCUCUUCUUCUCUUAUCCAGUGAGUUGUCUGCUCCUCCAAGUUAGGUCUCCAUUCUACCCAAGUCCAGGGGCCACUUGUCACCUAGGCUUCCUGGUAAGUGGUGCCCCUUGAGCUGAGCUGUGCCAUGUCCAUGGCAUUGGCCUAAGGUCCCCAUGCCUUUUGCCUGCCAGACCCACCCCAGCCAUUCUGGCGGCCCCUCCCUGGGCUCUUCUCCACUCCCUGCUCCCCUGCAGCCUCCUGGACCCUGACCCAGGAAUACUCUGAACUCUGCUCCUCUUUUCUAGGCUGUUCCUUCCUUCCAGGCUCUCCAAAGCUGCCCUUCCUCUGAAGUCUUUCCUCCUUUCCGAAUGCUUAGGUUCUCAAGAAGGAUCCAGUUUCUCCAUCCUCCUUUUCCCAGAUCAUCAAUCCAACAGGAAGAAAUGAAGAUCCUCCUAGGCAAGUGGCACAGCACUGCGGGUAAGACAGUCCAUGUCAGACCGCCUGGCUCAAACUCCCAGCUUUGCCACCUGCCAGCUGUGUGUCCUUCAGCACUUUUGCCAAUCUCCUAUUGUCUCAUUGUCCUGCCAUUGAUCAUUGCAACUGUUCUGAAGUCUCCAAAACUCUUGUUCAAAAUAAUAUUUACAAGGAUGGAUUUUUUGAUGCAGACCAGAAUGUGUUUUCCUGUACAGUUCUGCAUGGCUGAGGAGGCCUCAGGAAACUUACACUCACGGCGGAAGGAGAAUGGGAAGCGAGGCACCCUCUUCACAGGGCAGCGGGAAGGAGCAGUGC